GUUUACGGCCAUAUCACUUUGAAAACACCGGUUCUCGUCCGAUCACCGAAGUUAAGCAACGUCGAGUCUAGUUAGUACUUAGAUGGGUGACCGCUUGGGAAACCUAGGUGCUGUAAAAG
rfam:Octopus bimaculoides Scaffold168528_contig_6, whole genome shotgun sequence.